GAAAGACAGGCUAACUUUGUUAGCUCUUUGUUAGGAUAUGCUCGAGAGGACAAAAGAUUUUGCACCUCGUUAUUGUUGGACCUCUGUGUGGAAACAGCGAACAGGACGUCAUAAGUGUGGUGCAUUGCUGUCCUCCUGCCCUUGCUGGCCGUGCUGACAGUGUGAUGUAGCCUCAGUUCUUUGAGAGACAAGACAAAACAGCAGGGAAUAAUUUCAUGUCUGCAAGCCGCUGGAUGAUCAGUUUGGAGGGCAAGGUAUUUUAUGAGCCUGAGCAGAUGCAUGACUUUGGCAGCACCCUUGCUGUCUUCUUUGCGUCAUACUACGUUUUCAACCUUGAGUAUCAGGAGUCAGCGUCCAUCACACUGGAGAUGAUACAGAGGUUCUUUGUGAGGAUCAAUCCAGACAUGGGAACAAAAUGCCCUGCAAAACUUGGUACAAGCCGCAAGACAGGUCGUGUCGUAAAGAGGAAGGUUACAAGCAUCAGCCCUCGGAUCACCACCUUCCUCCAGCGGCUCUCUGGAGGACUUCCAACUAGGUGGUGAUGAAGACUACGCUGAACCCGACCAUCCUGGUAACGGAAA